GGGUUGUGAGGUUAAGCGACUAAGCGUACACGGUGGAUGCCCUGGCAGUCAGAGGCGAUGAAGGACGUGCUAAUCUGCGAAAAGCGUCGGUAAGGUGAUAUGAACCGUUACAGCCGGCGAUGUCCGAAUGGGGAAACCCAGUGCAAUUCGUUGCACUAUCGUUUGAUGAAUACAUAGUCAAACGAGGCGAACCGGGGGAACUGAAACAUCUAAGUACCCCGAGGAAAAGAAAUCAACCGAGAUUCCCCCAGUAGCGGCGAGCGAACGGGGAGCAGCCCGGAGUCUGAAUCAGCUUGUGUGUUAGUGGAAGCGUCUGGAAAGUCGCAGGGUACAGGGUGAUACUCCCGUACACUAAAACACACAGGUUGUGAACUCGAAGAGUAGGGCGGGACACGUGGUAUCCUGUCUGAAUAUGGGGGGACCAUCCUCCAAGGCUAAAUACUCCUGACUGACCGAUAGUGAACCAGUACCGUGAGGGAAAGGCGAAAAGAACCCCGGCGAGGGGAGUGAAAAAGAACCUGAAACCGUGUACGUACAAGCAGUAGGAGCCCACUUGUUGGGUGACUGCGUACCUUUUGUAUAAUGGGUCAGCGACUUAUAUUCUGUAGCAAGGUUAACCGUAUAGGGGAGCCGCAGGGAAACCGAGUCUUAACUGGGCGUUAAGUUGCAGGGUAUAGACCCGAAACCCGGUGAUCUAGCCAUGGGCAGGUUGAAGGUUGGGUAACACUAACUGGAGGACCGAACCGACUAAUGUUGAAAAAUUAGCGGAUGACUUGUGGCUGGGGGUGAAAGGCCAAUCAAACCGGGAGAUAGCUGGUUCUCCCCGAAAGCUAUUUAGGUAGCGCCUCGUGAACUCAUCUUCGGGGGUAGAGCACUGUUUCGGCUAGGGGGUCAUCCCGACUUACCAACCCGAUGCAAACUACGAAUACCGAAGAAUGUUAUCACGGGAGACACACGGCGGGUGCUAACGUCCGUCGUGAAGAGGGAAACAACCCAGACCGCCAGCUAAGGUCCCAAAGUCAUGGUUAAGUGGGAAACGAUGUGGGAAGGCCCAGACAGCCAGGAUGUUGGCUUAGAAGCAGCCAUCAUUUAAAGAAAGCGUAAUAGCUCACUGGUCGAGUCGGCCUGCGCGGAAGAUGUAACGGGGCUAAACCAUGCACCGAAGCUGCGGCAGCGACACUAUGUGUUGUUGGGUAGGGGAGCGUUCUGUAAGCCGUUGAAGGUGGCCUGUGAGGGUUGCUGGAGGUAUCAGAAGUGCGAAUGCUGACAUAAGUAACGAUAAUGCGGGUGAAAAACCCGCACGCCGGAAGACCAAGGGUUCCUGUCCAACGUUAAUCGGGGCAGGGUGAGUCGACCCCUAAGGCGAGGCCGAAAGGCGUAGUCGAUGGGAAACAGGUUAAUAUUCCUGUACUCGGUGUUACUGCGAAGGGGGGACGGAGAAGGCUAUGUUGGCCGGGCGACGGUUGUCCCGGUUUAAGCAUGUAGGCGGAUGUUCCAGGUAAAUCCGGAACGUCACUAACGCUGAGGUGUGAUGACGAGGCACUACGGUGCUGAAGUGACAAAUGCCCUGCUUCCAGGAAAAGCCUCUAAGCAUCAGGUAACAUCAAAUCGUACCCCAAACCGACACAGGUGGUCAGGUAGAGAAUACCAAGGCGCUUGAGAGAACUCGGGUGAAGGAACUAGGCAAAAUGGUGCCGUAACUUCGGGAGAAGGCACGCUGAUGGUAAGUGAAGUGACUUGCUCAUGGAGCUGAAAUCAGUCGAAGAUACCAGCUGGCUGCAACUGUUUAUUAAAAACACAGCACUGUGCAAACACGAAAGUGGACGUAUACGGUGUGACGCCUGCCCGGUGCCGGAAGGUUAAUUGAUGGGGUUAUCCUCGCGGAGAAGCUCUUGAUCGAAGCCCCGGUAAACGGCGGCCGUAACUAUAACGGUCCUAAGGUAGCGAAAUUCCUUGUCGGGUAAGUUCCGACCUGCACGAAUGGCGUAAUGAUGGCCAGGCUGUCUCCACCCGAGACUCAGUGAAAUUGAACUCGCUGUGAAGAUGCAGUGUACCCGCGGCAAGACGGAAAGACCCCGUGAACCUUUACUAUAGCUUGACACUGAACACUGGUCCUUGAUGUGUAGGAUAGGUGGGAGGCUUUGAAGUGUGGACGCCAGUCUGCAUGGAGCCAUCCUUGAAAUACCACCCUUUAAUGGCUGGUGUUCUAACGUGGGCCCGUAAUCCGGGUUGCGGACAGUGUCUGGUGGGUAGUUUGACUGGGGCGGUCUCCUCCUAAAGAGUAACGGAGGAGCACGAAGGUCAGCUAAUCCUGGUCGGACAUCAGGAGGUUAGUGCAAUGGCAUAAGCUGGCUUGACUGCGAGCGUGACGGCGCGAGCAGGUGCGAAAGCAGGUCAUAGUGAUCCGGUGGUUCUGAAUGGAAGGGCCAUCGCUCAACGGAUAAAAGGUACUCCGGGGAUAACAGGCUGAUACCGCCCAAGAGUUCAUAUCGACGGCGGUGUUUGGCACCUCGAUGUCGGCUCAUCACAUCCUGGGGCUGAAGUAGGUCCCAAGGGUAUGGCUGUUCGCCAUUUAAAGUGGUACGCGAGCUGGGUUUAGAACGUCGUGAGACAGUUCGGUCCCUAUCUGCCGUGGGCGCUGGAGAAUUGAGGGGGGCUGCUCCUAGUACGAGAGGACCGGAGUGGACGCAUCACUGGUGUUCGGGUUGUCAUGCCAAUGGCAUUGCCCGGUAGCUAAAUGCGGAAGAGAUAAGUGCUGAAAGCAUCUAAGCACGAAACUUGCCCCGAGAUGAGUUCUCCCUGACUCCUUGAGAGUCCUGAAGGAACGUUGAAGACGACGACGUUGAUAGGCCGGGUGUGUAAGCGCAGCGAUGCGUUGAGCUAACCGGUACUAAUGAACCGUGAGGCUUAACCUUACAACGCCGAAG
rnacentral:rRNA from 1 species